rnacentral:lncRNA from 1 species
AAAGAAAGAAAGAAAGAAAGAAAGAAAGAAAGAAAGAGUAUUGUGGAGCAGGGCAGGUGGACUGAGUUUGCAAACACAGACACACCUGGGAAAGUUUGGGGGAAAUUGGCCUGGGACAGAUUAAGAAUUGAAGGCAAAUCCCUAACUCUGCUCACCCUCAGCUCUGCUCCCUCACCGCCUGCCCUUCCACCCCCACUCCCCAUGCCUCUCCAUAACCCAGGAAUGUAGAGCUGAUGCGCUUUUUCCUCUAUAGCCCCUCUUGGCUCUCUCUGUGUGCGGUAACAUGCCCCAGGCCCCAGAUCAGGCACCCCUUUUAUAGGAUCCCUGCUCUGCAUUGGGAGGGGUACUGCUUCCAUCAUUGGUUUUCAGACCGAGGCCAGCAUGGAGAGGAUUCUGGUGUGUUUGACAAAACAAUCAUGCCACGCCAAGUAGCAAAUCCACCAACCCCAUUCACAACCAACAUCUCUCUCACUCUGAAAGUGGUAGAUCCUGAACCAAUAUUGCAAUGGUAAGGCACACUACUCAGUAAAGAGAGAGAGAUCCCACUUCAUUCUUGUAACUCCCAGCCAAAGCAGGGAGACCAUGUGCUGGAGACCAGUGACCCUGCUUCAGAGAAAAGAAAAGCACAGAGAAGUCGAGAGUCUUGUGUGCUGUUGGUAGAAAUGUAAAGACGGCAGGCACUGUAUAGAACAAUUUGGCAGUUCUUCAGAAAGCCAAAAAUAAGCUGGGUGUGGUGGCGUCUACUUGAAAUCUCAGCACUCCAGAGAUGGAGCAAGAUUUCUGCAAACUCAAGGCCAGCCUGCUCUACCAAAACACUGUUUUUAAAAAUAAAAAUAGGAUUCCCAUAUAUCUCAGUAAUUUUACUUCUAGUGGUACAUUGAAAAGAACUGAGGGGCUAGAGUGAUGGCUCUGUGGUUCACGGCACUAUUUUUCCAGAGAACCUGGGUUCAAUUCCCAGCACCCACAUAGAGGCUCACAAUCAUCUGUAACCCUAGUCUCAGGGGAUCAGACACCCUCUUCUGGCCUCUGACACUGCAUUCAUGUGGUGCACAGGCCAACAAGCAGUCCACCUACACACAGCCAAAGCAACCCUACACAUAAAAUAAACUAAUUAAUAAUUAAGGCUGAAAAUGGCAGUGUACUCAGGGGGCAAAGGCAAGACAAUCUCUGUGAAUUCAAGGCCAGCCUGGUCUAUAUAGCAAAUACCAGGACAAUCAAGACGACAUAGGGAUCCUAUCUCAAAAAGCAGAGUAUGAGAGAGAGAGAGAGAGUAAAGAUUGAUAUUCAUAGCAGAAUUAUUCACAAGAGCUAGACAUGCAAGCAAGUAGGCUUGAAGGUGAAUACCUGUAAUCCCAGAACUUGAAUUUGGGACUAGCCUGAUCUACAGAAUCUGCCUCUUUGGGGGAUACACACACACACACACACACACAUAUACAUGCACACAAUGGAACAUUAUUCAGCCUUUAAAAGGAAGUAUCUUGUGAUACAUGUUGCAAUAUGAGCAUACUUUAAGGACAUUAUGCUGCGUGAAAUAGGCCAGCAAGAAAGAUGGAAAAUACUUGGGAGGCA